rnacentral:rRNA from 1 species
AGAGUUUGAUCUUGGCUCAGGAUGAACGCUAGCUACAGGCUUAACACAUGCAAGUCAAGGGGAAACGACAUCGAAAGCUUGCUUUUGAUGGGCGUCGACCGGCGCACGGGUGAGUAACGCGUAUCCAACCUGCCCACCACUUGGGGAUAACCUUGCGAAAGUAAGACUAAUACCCAAUGACGUCUCUAGAAGACAUCUGAAGGAGAUUAAAGAUUUAUCGGUGAUGGAUGGGGAUGCGUCUGAUUAGCUUGUUGGCGGGGUAACGGCCCACCAAGGCGACGAUCAGUAGGGGUUCUGAGAGGAAGGUCCCCCANAUUGGAACUGAGACACGGUCCAAACUCCUACGGGAGGCA